rnacentral:rRNA from 1 species
UACGUAGGGGGCAAGCGUUGUCCGGAUUUAUUGGGCGUAAAGAGCGUGUAGGCGGCCGCACAGGUCCGUUGUGAAAACUGGAGGCUUAACCUUCAGACGUCGAUGGAAACCGUGCGGCUAGAGUCCGGGAGGGGAGAGUGGAAUUCCCAGUGUAGCGGUGAAAUGCGUAGAUAUUGGGAGGAACACCGGUGGCGAAGGCGGCUCUCUGGACCGGUUCUGACGCUGAGGCGCGAAAGCGUGGGGAGCGAACAGG